rnacentral:tRNA from 1 species
GGAAGGGUAGCGAAGAGGCUAAACGCGGCGGACUGUAAAUCCGCUCCUUCGGGUUCGGGGGGUCGAAUCCCUCCCCUUCCA